ACCUAUGGAUAGCUCAGUUGUAGAGCAUGAGACUCUUAAUCUCAGGGUCAUGAGUUCGAGCCCCACGUUGGGUG